rnacentral:rRNA from 1 species
GGGCAGACUAGAGUGCGGUAGGGGAGACUGGAAUUCCUGGUGUAGCGGUGGAAUGCGCAGAUAUCAGGAGGAACACCGAUGGCGAAGGCAGGUCUCUGGGCCGCAACUGACGCUGAGGAGCGAAAGCAUGGGGAGCGAACAGGAUUAGAUACCCUGGUAGUCCAUGCCGUAAACGUUGGGCACUAGGUGUGGGGCUCAUUCCACGAGUUCCGUGCCGCAGCAAACGCAUUAAGUGCCCCGCCUGGGGAGUACGGCCGCAAGGCUAAAACUCAAAGAAAUUGACGGGGGCCCGCACAAGCGGCGGAGCAUGCGGAUUAAUUCGAUGCAACGCGAAGAACCUUACCAAGGCUUGACAUACACCGGAAACUUCCAGAGAUGGUUGCCCCGCAAGGUCGGUGUACAGGUGGUGCAUGGUUGUCGUCAGCUCGUGUCGUGAGAUGUUGGGUUAAGUCCCGCAACGAGCGCAACCCUCGUCCUAUGUUGCCAGCGGGUCAUGCCGGGGACUCAUAGGAGACUGCCGGGGUCAACUCGGAGGAAGGUGGGGAUGACGUCAAAUCAUCAUGCCCCUUAUGUCUUGGGCUUCACGCAUGCUACAAUGGCCGGUACAAAGGGCUGCGAUACCGCGAGGUGGAGCGAAUCCCAAAAAGCCGGUCUCAGUUCGGAUUGGGGUCUGCAACUCGACCCCAUGAAGUCGGAGUCGCUAGUAAUCGCAGAUCAGCA